rnacentral:tRNA from 1 species
GGGGUGUUAGCUCAGUUGGUAGAGCAGCGGACUCUUAAUCCGUUGGUCGUCGGUUCGAAUCCGACACGCCCCACCA